CCUUCGCCUCAAGUCCCAGACCGUCUCCCCACCCCCCGCCCCCUCCGCCCCUCUCACUUCCCCGCCCCCGCUUCCCUGCCCCCCUCCCUGUGUUCUCCCCUCCCCACCUCUACUCCUCAUCUCCCCUCCCCAUCUCCCCGCCCCCCCUUCCCACCUCCUGGCGCCUCGGCCCGCUCCCCCACCCCCCCCCCCCCCCGCCUCCGUGCUUGCCCCCCUCACCCCGUCUGCUCCUCUUCCCGAGCCCUCCACUCUCUCUCCUCAGCCCUUGGGGCCGAGCUUGUCCCAAGCCCCUGCCCCAGGAGGCUCCAGACACUGCAACGGGCUGGCGAGCUCCAGGCGGCCGACCUCGGGGUCUCGGGCGGGACCCAGCUGGACCAGGUACCAACUGGGCCCGUGGAUGGACUUGGGCCGGGCGUCUGCAGCGCUGACAGCGAGGGUUUGGGGCGACGAGGACGAUGGUGACGACGACGGCUGUUACUGUUCCCGUCCUCGUGAUCUUAAUGAUUUCCAUCUGAAACUACCUGACCGCGCGGGCUGGCUGCCGGGUUAGCUGGUGGCUCAGACCCUGUUCGUUGGCUCCCAGCCUCGUGUGCACCCCCGCUCGGCUCCGGGGCCUGCGGGCCAAUCGCACUGACCGCUGUCGCACGCAGGUCGGACCCUUUUGUGUGAAUGAAUAAAGCAGUCCAUGGGAGGUGCUGCCGAAGAACACCCGGGGAGGUGACCAGACUACAGAAUUUUCCACUGGAGAAGGAAGGAAACCAGCCCUCCCUGAGGGUCUCUGCCUCCCGGAGUGACGAGGGAAAGCUCUUCACGGAAAAUGUCAGCUCAUCAGUAAGGGAGGAAUGGAAGAAUUAGGAGCUCUGCAUUCUGCACCCCUCAGAUAACUGAGCGGGACAAGGGGACGUGAAAGCGUGUCAAUCACACAGUGCCACCCGGGAAAGAAAAAACACCCUCCACUUUCAUCGGAGACGUCUGGCUGUCAACGCCUUCACGGGGAUUCAAACUCAGCAUCACCCAUGCUGGGUCAGUCUGACGUUAGGGGUCGAAAACUCCAGCUCACGAAAUCGCCGACGCUGUGGUCUUGCUGAAAACACUUCAGCCCUCGCGUCCAGUUUACGGGAAGGAGGAGGGAUAGAGCACGCGGUAAACAACACCAGGAGAAAGGACCAGACAGGUGCCGAGAGCCAGACCUAACGCAUCCCUCAAACAGGGUAACGUCAGGAAAAGGGUAGGAUUGGUUCUAGGAUGAAAACAGCUAAAAAGAAGCAACAUUUCUAACAACAAGCAUGAACCUGAUCACCUAAGCAGCACGAAAGUAUUGUGAUGACAUUUCGGUACAAACGGAGUAUCACAGACCCAUCCGUACUGCUAAUUGGGUGUGGUGAUAGCACAAUGCUUAUCUGGAAGAAUGGCCUUAUUUCUAGGAGAUGAGCUGUUGAGGGUGAAAUGUCUUGAUGUCCGAAACUUGUUUUCAAAUGACUCAGCCAAGACGAUACGUGCACAGAAGGUCGAGAGGACAAAAUCAGUGACCGGAGCUGGGGAAGCGGACGUGGUGGGGAGUUGUACAACGUGUUCCCCUUCUCUGGAUGUUUGAAAUUUUUUCGUAACAAAAAGUUGGAGAAAAAUAAAAUGUCAGGUACCAAAUAA